UCCGGCUUCUCGCCGGCAGUCCUCCCAGAGUCCUCGACUUGACUCGCUAGCAACUGGGAGCGGGGGUUGCGCUCGUUGCGGGACUUAACCCAACAUCUCACGACACGAGCUGACGACAGCCAUGCAGCACCUGUCUUGGGACUCCGAAGAGCGACCCCCGUUUCUGGAGAUCUUCCCCAAGAUGUCAAGCCCAGGUAAGGUUCUUCGCGUUGCGUCGAAUUAAACCACAUGCUCCACCGCUUGUGCGGGCCCCCGUCAAUUCCUUUGAGUUUCAGCCUUGCGGCCGUACACCCCAGGCGGGGCACUUAAUGCGUUAGCGCCGGCACCCAGGGGAGUCGACACCCCCCACACCUAGUGCCCAUCGUUUACGGCGUGGACUAC
rnacentral:misc_RNA from 1 species